UGCUAUGGCGGCUGUGUGUGGGACACCUUCGGGUGUGCCGGUUCCUUAGUUUCCGGUCCGCGAACCCGCGCACAGCUGCCACCCUU
rnacentral:antisense_RNA from 1 species